rnacentral:rRNA from 1 species
GAGUUUGAUCGUGGCUCAGAUUGAACGCUGGCGGCAGGCCUAACACAUGCAAGUCGAGCGGAUGAAGGGAGCUUGCUCCUGGAUUCAGCGGUGGACGGGUGAGUAAUGCCUAGGAAUCUGCCUGGGUAGUGGGGGAUAACGUCCGGAAACGGGCGACUAAUACCGCAUACGUCCUGAGGGAGAAAGUGGGGGAUCUUCGGACCUCACGCUAUCAGAUGAGCCUAGGUCGGAUUAGCUAGUUGGUGGGGUAAAGGCCUACCAAGGCGACGAUCCGUAACUGGUCUGAGAGGAUGAUCAGUCACACUGGAACUGAGACACGGUCCAGACUCCUACGGGAGGCAGCAGUGGGGAAUAUUGGACAAUGGGCGAAAGCCUGAUCCAGCCAUGCCGCGUGUGUGAAGAAGGUCUUCGGAUUGUAAAGCACUUUAAGUUGGGAGGAAGGGCAGUAAGUU